GAUUUUAAGUUAAGCAAACUAGUUACCUUCAAAGUAAAAAUUAUUCAUAAUAAAUCUUAA
rnacentral:tRNA from 1 species